GCAAGACUUUUGUUCUUACUAUGAUUGUUCAGUUAUUCAAAGAUAAAUUGAAGAUGUAUCUUUAUUGGGAUUAAUGGCAAUCUCAGUUGUGUUUCAGAGAGCUUUGUAAAGGCCGAGUGAUAUGAUGAGAUCAGCAUAUUUGAAAUAAAUAAAGAUGUAACAGACAAUGCCGAUUAUUUGGAAACCUUUGGAUAUAGGUGCACAAGAUUUGUUAAUCGGUGUAGAACAUUCACAUUAUGGGGUACUAUUUGUUCAUGCGGAAAAGAGGACGUUUGGAGACCCAUGUGAGUGUUUCCGUAGAUAAAAGCACUUUGAGACAUGUUGUCCGGAUCCAUUACAAGAGGAAGAAGAAAUUAUUGUGGGAGCAGCGAUAUGUGAUAUUAUCUAAAGGUUGCUUAUAUAUCUACAAAAACAAGAAUUCAAAGAAACCAAUAGAAUCGUUCUCUCUCAAACAUUUUGAAUAUGUUCGGGAAUCUGAACCUGAGAAUGGAGAGAAUAUUUGCUUUUGUCUUCAUUACAGAAAAGGGAAACCACCAAGAUUAUUUGCAUGUGAUACACAUGAGACAAGAGAAGAAUGGAUAAAAAAGUUACGUUUGGAAAUGUCGGAUGUACAGUCAACGUUUUAUUUGUCAGCUGACAGUGAAUACGGAAGUGCAGGGACAGUUCCCGCUUUUAGAGAGUCGGAUAUUUACGAAACUGCGGAACUAGAUGAGGACGACCGAAAGUACGAUAAGGUAGAUGAAAGACGGUUUGAUAAAGCAUUUCGACCAGAUAAAAAAGACACACAGGCACAGAGGAAUAUAAAACAUAAAUUAUAUUCAGAGGAUAAUGAUUAUGAACCUAUAAACUGUCCUCGCGAACCCGAUGCAUGCAAAAGAGAAAUAGACAUUAAACCAUCAAUUCAAGGAUCUUAUGAAGUACUAGGAGCAGUAGAGAAGAAAGGACAGAUUAUAACGAAACCAAAGAUAUACAUGGAAGAGCUCAUUUCAAAAUUGAACAGUGAUCACAGAGGCCUGUCAAGCGUUGUUGGAAAAGAUACACAGGCUAAGACACCUUUAUUGAGAAGAGAUUCAUCAGGCUCUGUUGCAUCCUCAUUUGUAUCUGUCCAAGGAGGAGAUGAACAAUCUGAUAAUGUGAUAUCUAUAUCCUCCCAGCCUAUAGUACAAACGCAAGGGAAGAAGGAAGGCCAGACACAACAAAAAGUGAAACAUGAAUCACAUUCAGAGGAAUCCGAUGCUGAUUAUGAAAAUUUAACAGACCUGUUCUCAUCUUCAAUAUGCGACAGAGAAAAAUGUACUGAACUAGCAAACCAAGGACUUUCAGGAGGAAUAAAGAAGACGGAACAUUUAGAAACGAAACCAAAUUCAUUUUUAGGUGAGCUCCAAUCAAAAAUCAAGACUGGUCACAUGGGCCUUGCAAUAGAACGUGGAAAAUCUACAAAGGUACCAACUUCUACAACUUUUAGAAGACAUUCAAUGACAUCUGUAACAUCAUCAUUUCUGUCCAUCCGAGAAGAAGAUGAUAUAUCUGACAAUGUUCUCAGUCAGUACAAAUGAAAGUUAGUAUGUAUGAAACUUGACAACGAUUCAAAUAAGAAAACAAAAGAAGAUAAGACAACUGGUUCAGAGAGUGAGGAUCAUCUGCAAAAGUGAUAUAAGGCAGUACGCACCGAGUGAAAAUACGUCAUCCUGAUAGUAGAACGUUUUGUGGUUGGAAGCUAAAGACGUAUGGCUGUUAUAGAUUUCUGAUUAAGCUUAAGCUAGGGGACACAGGAGGAACUGCAAAUCUCGUCAUCUCUCAUAAAAAGACUCAAACUGAGUCUGCUAUUAUUUUGCUAUUUUUAAUUCUGCGCUUACUGUACAAAGUUUAUUCUUAUAUAUUUUCUUUACAGUUUUGUCUUUGUACUUACCGAAAUGAUAUAUUUUUGAAAUAACUAUCAGAACUCGACUGGACAGAUUUAAUAGUAAAUGCGUCACAAUAAAUGUGACUUUUGUAUAUGUACGAGAUUUGCUGCAAUGACAUUAAACAAAAAAGAAUUGUACUGUAACUUAUAAGUUCAUUUUUUGUAUUUAUACUGCAAAUACUUGCAGCUUUCUUUGUGUUGUACGGGACAAAUCUUCCAAAUAUCAUUCGAAUUAUUGUCCUUGUACAUAGCUGUUUGUCUACAGACACAAGCAAAAUGUUUAAAAAAAGCUGUGGUCCCUUUUUUAUUUCUGCACGAAACAAAGAAGUGUGAGCACUCAUUUUCCUAGUAAGAAUAUUUCCUAUCCAAUUUAAAUGUUUUGACGCUGGUAGAAAAUAUGCUAACGCACACAUUUAAUGUUAACAUACAUUUUAUGAGAGAAGAAUAUGAACUUCACCUGUCUGUUGUAAAGUGUUUGAAAAUAUUUAAAAUUGUCAUUUAAAAAUAUGUUAAUAUUUAUUUAUCUGUCAUUUUAUUUUUAUUAUGGUAUGAAAUAAAAAGUUAAUUAACAAAGUUAAGUAUAACGAAUUCAGUUGGACUCACAUUGCCGAAUUAUAUUAUUCGCCUUGUCUAUGGGUUAGUAAGCUGUGUACUCGUCCACAGACACCUGGGGCUCUGCAAAUUGUUAGCCAAUAUAGUUUAGCUAUGUAACAAGAACCGAGCAUAGGUGACAAUCAUAUAUUAUGUUUAUUACAAUUUCAGCAGAAAUUAAAUGUGCACCUUUUACAAUCAAUGAUCUUUGUACUACAAGCCUGUAUAAAUAUUAAAAGGUACUAUAAGCCUGGCAAAUACGAAAUUGACACUCGGAACAGCCAUUCUGGAUUAAGCCUUCUCAGGUAUCAACAAUAAUGCAUUUAGACAAAGGAAACAGGUCCUCGUGUAGUUAUCAUCCGGUUCAAUUAGGCUGAAAGUUAUCAAUUUUAGUACGCGGCUGUCAGUGAACUGUUUCUGAUAAAUUAAUGGUAUAAACUUCUGCCGAAGGGAGCACUGGGAGUAAUGCGACCCAAAUAAUUACCGGUACAGCUUCAAUAUUCGUCAGAAAGGUCUGAAAAUCAUUUGACAUAUGUAUUAUGGGAUCUGCCAAACAAAAUUAGAUUGAUCAAUGCAUGUCAACGUUAUGGCCUAAGAUCUGAUAUGACAUGUGACCCAUAAUUGUAAACUUGACCUUUAGGAUACGGGCCUAAAGUUUGCGUGGGACACUGCAUGUAAAAGUUAUGACACGGAAAGGGAGGGUCAAAAAAUGACAUCUGACCCCUAAGUGUGACAUUGGCCUUUGAGAUAGAAACCUAAGGUUUGCGCACGACACUACGUCUCACGGAGGUGACAUUUAUGCCAAAUAAAAAUAUUGCCCCAUGAUACUUAUAAAAGUUAUGACCCGGACAAGCUCAAAAAUGAACUUUGACCCUAAGUGUGACCAUGACCUUUAAGAUAGGAACCUAGUGUUUGCGUGCGACACUCCGUCUUAUUAAGGUUAACAUCCUUGCCAAAUUUGAACAAGUUUACUCCAUGCCUGUAAAAGUUUUUUUUUCUGGACAACAAAAUCUGAACGGACUCACUAACACACCAACUAACGCAUAUACACCGAACAUGCAUUUGAACGACUAUGUCCUCACUCUCUGCAAGUAACCGCUACAAAAAUAGUGUAGAAAUUCUUUUGGAAAAACAUUACUGUAGUUCUAAGGGGUUAAAGUAUUAUAAUAUAUGUCUUAAACUAGGCUCAUACAUCGAUCUUUCCGUUUGAAAAUUGAUAAUCAAUUAACAUGGGCCAACUUUUGAUUCUUUAGCUGAAAUGUUUUACAGUGAAAAAAAAUAAACAACAACAUUCAUUUAUUUAAAAAAAAACGAAAAUAAUUAAUGGGUGAAAAGGCUGAAAGUUCUGAAAUUAUCAGCCCGACAACCUCAGAUAUUAUAACUGUACAUUCAAAAUGAAUUGUAUAAGGUACAUGUAAAGAAUAAGUUAUCAACGAACAAGCAUCUUUUACGGGUAACAUUUCAGCUUUUUGUAGAGAUUACACGCCUUUUUUAAAGGGAAUAGUAAUGAGUAUUGUUUGAGUUCUUCAUUUUUUUUUGGUAGAGUAUACACAAUAUUUCGACAUACAUAUUAAAUGCAAAAAAUGUCAAUGUUGUUCAACUGUUUUGCAACGAUAACCAUUAGCUGGUAGAAGUGGAAUGAUAAGCACGUCAACGACACGGUUUGUCUUUUAGUAAGUACAGUGCUUCUCAAAUGAUCAGUUCUCUAUUAAAACUUGCGUUCUCUAAACUCUCUCCUAAAUCAAAUGCAAUCAAGUUUUUUGUAGACCACAACCAUCUCAUACUGACCAGGAUACUAAGUUACCUGUUUCAAAAUUUAAGUGCCCAUUAAUUCUCAAAUUUUCCUUUUCAGGAAAAAUCUACGUCUGGAAUGCCUCAGCCGUGUACACCCCCAUUUGUAGUUCAAUUCUAGUUUAUAGCAUUAGAUACAUUUUUAUUUUAACAUAGCACCUGGUGAGACCAAUAUUUUACUUUAAAAGCAGCCACCAUAUAUUGCUAUCAGUUAUGACUGUUUCAAAGAACCACACAGAUGCAAGUGUUUUACUGAUUUUGAAAGAAUCAUGAAUCUGUUGAAAUAAUUAUUGCCUUCUCCUUUUAACAAACAUUUUUAAAAAACAAAUCAAUAAUUUGUUGAUUUUUCUUAUGCUCACUUAUUUGUUCGUUUUUCAAGUAGUCUAUAUUAAUGUCAUGAGUUCCACAUUCAUGUAGUAUAAAUGCUGUCACACGUCACGUAUGAUAAAUUGUCAUAAAUUUUCAAUGCCCUUUGUAUAACUAUUCAUUUAUUUCCUAGUAGCAUAACAAAGCAUGAUUUUAACAAAUAUUUAUUAAAUAUUGCUGCAAAAAAAUCAAUCCAGAACCGACAAAUCAUUGACAUAGCAAUUACUUACAGUAGUAAUCCAUCUCCCAUUCAAUUGUGUUAAAGAAAGGAAAUAUAUAAGAUAUAUACAUGAUAUUUAUCUAUGCUGUGUUGACAAUGAUAACAAAACUAUAAGUAAAUUGUAAUCAUAAUUAUGAUAAUUUCCGUUUUACGCUAAUAAAUUCUCUUCUAACACUCCGUUACGUUUGACGAAUGUCAUUUGGAACGGCUCAAAAUGUUGGAAAGUAACUACGGCAGAAGUAGAUAAUG
rnacentral:misc_RNA from 1 species